rnacentral:rRNA from 1 species
UACGUAGGGGGCAAGCGUUGUCCGGAUUCAUUGGGCGUAAAGAGCUCGUAGGCGGUUCGGCAAGUCGGGUGUGAAAACUCCAGGCUCAACCUGGAGACGCCACCCGAUACUGCUGUGACUUGAGUCCGGUAGGGGACCACGGAAUUCCUAGUGUAGAGGUGAAAUUCGUAGAUAUUCGCAAGAACACCAGUGGCGAAGGCGGCUCACUGGCCCGAUACUGACGCUGAGGCACGAAAGCGUGGGGAGCAAACAGG